UGGGGAAUUUUGGGCAAUGGGCGAAAGCCUGACCCAGCAAUAUCGCGUGAGUGAUGAAGGGCAGCAUAGCUCGUAAAGCUCUGUCAUUGAGUAUGAGAUUAUGACAUGACUCAAAAAGGAAGCCCCGGCUAACUUACGUGCCAGCAGCAGCGGUAAAACGUAGGGGGCGAGUGUUAUUCGGAAUGACUAGGCGUAAAGGGCAUGUAAGCGGUUAAUCAGGUACGUUAGUGAAAGCCAUCAGCUCAACUGAUGAAAAACUUUCAACACCAAUUAACUUGAGUAAGAUAGAGGUCAGUGGAAUUUCGUGUGUAGAGAUAAAAUUCACAGAUAUACGAAGGAACGCCAAUAGCGAAGGCAAUUGUCUGGGUCUUUACUGACGCUGAGGUGCGAAAGCAUGGGGAGCAAACA
rnacentral:rRNA from 1 species